UUGGAAAUAGCUCAACGGUAGAGCAUCAGACUCAUAAUCUGAAGGUUGCGGGUUCGAAUCCCGCUAUCCACU
rnacentral:tRNA from 1 species